rnacentral:rRNA from 1 species
GACGAACGCUGGCGGCGUGCUUAACACAUGCAAGUCGAACGGAAAGGCCCUGCUUUUGUGGGGUGCUCGAGUGGCGAACGGGUGAGUAACACGUGAGUAACCUGCCCUUGACUUUGGGAUAACUUCAGGAAACUGGGGCUAAUACCGGAUAGGAGCUCCUGCUGCAUGGUGGGGGUUGGAAAGUUUCGGCGGUUGGGGAUGGACUCGCGGCUUAUCAGCUUGUUGGUGGGGUAGUGGCUUACCAAGGCUUUGACGGGUAGCCGGCCUGAGAGGGUGACCGGCCACAUUGGGACUGGGAUACGGCCCAGACGCCUACGGGGGGAAGGGGGGGGGAAUAUUGCAAAAUGUGGGGAAGCCUGAUGCAGCAACGCCGCGUGGGGGAUGACGGCCUUGGGGUUGUAAACCGCUUUCGCCUGUAACGAAGCGGGAGUGACGGUAAUGGGUAAAGAAGCACCGGCUAACUACGU